rnacentral:rRNA from 1 species
GACGAACGCUGGCGGCGUGCUUAACACAUGCAAGUCGAACGGAAAGGCCCUGCUUUUGUGGGGUGCUCGAGUGGCGAACGGGUGAGUAACACGUGAGUAACCUGCCCUUGACUUUGGGAUAACUUCAGGAAACUGGGGCUAAUACCGGAUAGGAGCUCCUGCUGCAUGGUGGGGGUUGGAAAGUUUCGGCGGUUGGGGAUGGACUCGCGGCUUAUCAGCUUGUUGGUGGGGUAGUGGCUUACCAAGGCUUUGACGGGUAGCCGGCCUGAGAGGGUGACCGGCCACAUUGGGACUGAGAUACGGCCCAGACUCCUACGGGAGGCAGCAGUGGGGAAUAUUGCACAAUGGGCGGAAGCCUGAUGCAGCAACGCCGCGUGCGGGAUGACGGCCUUCGGGUUGUAGACCGCUUUCGCCUGUGACGAAGCGUGAGCGACGGUAAUGGGUAAAGAAGCACCGGCUAACUACGUG